rnacentral:rRNA from 1 species
AACGUAGGAGACAAACGUUAUCCGGAGUUACUGGGCGUAAAGGGCGUGCAGGCGGUCGACUAAGUCUGGCGUGAAAGCUCUCGGCUAAACCGGAAGAGGUCGUUGGAUACUGGUUGACUAGAGGACGGUAGAGGCGUGUGGAAUUCCGGUGUAGCGGUGAAAUGCGUAGAUAUCGGAAGGAACACCAGUGGCGAAGGCGGCUUCCUGGACUAAUACUGACGCUGAGGUGCGAAAGCGUGGGGAGCAAACAGG